rnacentral:rRNA from 1 species
UCGGUAUGUACUGGCUUUACUGAUUCCUCCUUCUUGACGAACCGUGAUGUCAUUAAUUUGGUGUUGCGGGAAAUCAGGACUGUUACUUUGAAAAAAUUAGAGUGUUUAAAACAGGCUAACGCUUGAAUACAUUAGCAUGGAAUAAUGAAAUAGGACGUUAAUCCUAUUUUGUUGGUUUCUAGGAUCGACGUAAUGAUUAAUAGGGAUAGUUGGGGGCAUUAGUAUUCAAUUGUCAGAGGUGAAAUUCUUGGAUUUAUUGAAGACUAACUACGGCGAAAGCAUUUGCCAAGGAUGUUUUCAUUAAUCAAGAACGAAAGUUAGGGGAUCGAAGACGAUCAGAUACCGUCGUAGUCUUAACCAUAAACUAUGCCGA